UACGGAGGGUGCGAGCGUUAAUCGGAAUUACUGGGCGUAAAGAGUGCGUAGGUGGUUGAUUAAGUUAUAUGUGAAAUCCCUGGGCUCAACCUGGGCAGGUCAUAUAAUACUGAUUGACUCGAGUAUGGGAGAGGGUAGUGGAAUUUCCGGUGUAGCGGUGAAAUGCGUAGAGAUCGGAAGGAACACCAGUGGCGAAGGCGGCUACCUGGCCCAAUACUGACACUGAGGCACGAAAGCGUGGGGAGCAAACAGG
rnacentral:rRNA from 1 species